AUGGACAUCGCGGAGUACGUCGCGUUCAUGGCCGGCGGCGGCCGGGGCCCGCGGGGCGAGGAGCUGCGGCGGAGGGCCAAGGACCACCUGCUCGCCUCCGGGUGGACCUUCUACAGGUUCGCCAAGUGCGACGGCCGCCAGGAGCUCCGCUACCGCGCGCCCCACGGCGCCUCCUACAUCUCCCUCAUCGUCGCCUGCAAGAAGUUCCAGCUCUUCAGCACCGCGCCCCCGAGGACGACUGCUCGUGGGAAGCCGAGCAAGAAGCGCGCGGCGCCGGAUUGUUCGUCCGGGGUGGGGAAGGAGAUCGCUCGUGUGAUAAGCCCGAUCGGUGCGGAAAAUGGCGGCCGUAAGCGGGGCUUUGGAGGCGGCGAGGACGUGUGUGGGCCGGCCGUCGGCAAUCCGUUCGCCGGCGAGUGCCCCGCGAGGCGCCGGAAGGUGAGGAGGGUGUCCGCGCUCUACGCCGACGACGCCCUCAAGAAGUACGCCGCCAAGAAGAAGAGGAAGAAAGCGUCGGCGUCUCCCCAGAGUCCUGCGUCUCCCCCGGCGUCUCCCCAGAGUCCUGCGUCUACCGCGGCGUCGCCGUCGCGCGUGCUGCGGCCGAGGACGAAAGACGGCGACAAGGCACAGGCGGCGGCGGCGGCGGCGUGCCAGCCGACCCGCGCGAGGACGAUCCUCGCCGUGCUCAUGGACAAGAAAAUCCUUCCCCCGACGGCAAAGCUGUCCUACAAGCGAACCAGGGACGGGCCUCCGGCCAAGCAGGGCACGGUCACUGUGCAAGGGACCAUACGGUGCGCGUGCGGCUGCGGCGGCAAGGCCUUCACCGUGGCGGAGUUCGCGGCGCACGCGGGAGGGUGCGGCGCCGAGCGGCCGUCGGCGAGCGUGUACCUCAACGACGGCAGGUCGCUGUCGCAGUGCCUGGUGCAGCUGAUGCGCGCCCACGGCGGCAACAUGCUGCCCACAGGCUCGCCGUCGCCGCGCGCGAGGCUGAAGCGCAGAUGCCCGCCCGAGCUGGGGGACGGCGACUGGGUGUGCUCCGUCUGCGCCGACUUCGGCGACAUGCUGCUCUGCGACUGCUGCCCCUCCACGUUCCACCACGGCUGCGUCGGCCUCGACGCCACCCCGCAGGGGGAGUGGUUCUGCCCUUCCUGCCGGUGCGCCGUCUGCGGCUCCAGCGAGUUCGAGCCCGACGACGGCGAGUUCACCGACAAGACGGUGAUCUACUGCGACCAAUGCGAACGAGAGUAUCAUGCCGGCUGCAUCAGGGGCAGAGGCGACCAGCUCGAGUGCUGCCCGGAAGGGCCAUGGCUGUGCAGCCAUGACUGCUCGAACAUUUUCCAGCGUCUGCAAGGGCUGGUUGGAAGAUCAAUGCCAACCUCAGUGGAAGGCGUAACCUUCACCGUGUUGAGAUCGACGAACCUCCCCGAGGAGGAGGGCAUGGCGGCCGAGGAGCACGGGAAGCUGUGCGCGGCGUUCGACGUGCUCCACGAGUGCUUCAUCACCCUCAUCGAGCCGCAGACGCGGACCGACCUCAGCCACGACAUCGUCUUCAACAGAGAAUCGGAGCUGAGGCGGCUCAAUUUCCGGGGAUUCUACGUGGUAGGUCUCGAGAAAGGUGGCGAGCUCAUAACCGUGGGCACGCUCAGGGUGUAUGGGAAGAAGGUUGCGGAGCUGCCGCUCAUCGGGACCCGGUUCGUGCAUCGCCGGCAAGGGAUGUGCCGCCUCCUCAUAAACCAACUGGAAAAGUUGCUUGGCGAGUUGGGGGUGGAGAGGCUUGUGCUGCCGGCGGUGCCCGAGCUUCUACCGACAUGGACCGGAUCCUUCGGUUUCCAAUCCAUGAGUCAUUCCGACAAGAUGGAGAUUGCAGAGCACACCGUCAUGUGCUUUCAGGGAACCACGAUGUGCCAGAAGUUCAUCGUCGGCACGGCGACUCCAUGA
rnacentral:rRNA from 1 species